ACCCACUGAGCCACCCAGGCACUCUCAAGUAUCUUUUCUGAACAUAAUGGUUAUGAAACUAGAAAUCAAUUACCAGAAGAAAACUGGGAAAAUCA